ensembl:lncRNA
UGAGAGUUUUUGAUGAUAGCUUUACAGCUAUCAUUGUGUCAAUCAUUUAUCAAUGUCUGAUGCUUCCUGGAGCUCCUCCAGGGCUUAGAAUUGAUUGACUACGUUACCAUCGAAACAGCAUCCCUGUCCCAGACAAUGGGUCAAGAAAUGGAAGGGAAGAACAGACAAUCAAACUCACUCCACAAAGACAGCAAAUCUUCUAAUCAAAUACAGUUUGCAGACGACACAACAGUAGUAGGCCUGAUUACCAGCAAAGAUGAGGAGGAGGUGAGGGGCCUGGCAGAGUGGUGCCAGGAAAAUAACCUCUCUCUCAACGUCAACAAAAACGAAGGAGCUGAUUGUGGACUUCAGGAAACAGCAAAGGGAGCACCCCACCUA